GAGGUUAGCCUAGUGGUAAAUGUCUUGGUCAGCAAAUCUCAGGUCCCAGGUUCAAAUCCCGGU
rnacentral:tRNA from 13 species